UCAAAUCUCUAUCGUAAGCUACGGUGAAGAAAAGCCACUGGUUCUUGGCCAGGGUGAAGAAGCUUACGCGAAGAACCGUCGUGCGGUUCUGGUUUACUAAUUAAAGGUAAAUCUUAUGAACAGUAACACUUUGCGUGCUCUAUCG
rnacentral:sRNA from 1 species